UGAUUUACUGAUUUCCUGAGAAUACAAGUUAUUUGAAAAGAGAGUAUCGACAUUUAAGUUGGUGAGUUCAUAAGCAUUUGUAUGUAUAUUUGUAAACCGUUUCUAUGAAAUGUAGUAAUGUUUUUUUUCCCAAAAAAUCCUAUAUUUUCCCUAAAAUGAGAUGUGGCCUUAAAUGAUCCAAGACCGAAAUGUAUAAGUAGUUUUCCUACUUAAAAUGAUGUUAUGCAGUUUUGUUUGUAUAUAAAACUGUUUGAAGACUGUCUUUGCGUAAAAUAAAAGUGUCAUUGUUGUUUUACGUGAGUUUUAAUUUUUAUCUUAUAACCAUGCUUGAUUGACCCAGACUGCCUAGUUCGCAAUGUUCUUCAAGUGUCAAUUUCGUUAUGACAUUUGUCAACCCUAGACCUGCCGGUCCAACUAUUGCAAGCAGCUAAGGUGCGGGAUUGUCGGUCCCAAUAUAGAUCUAUACACAACUAUCACGCUCUCCCUACAAGAGACUCUGGUUAUAUUUAACAGGACUUUCGUGUGUACUUUAUAAGGUACCGUGAAGACAAAACUCACUAAAUUUGUUCAACGAGUUUACAUGUUUUUGUGUUGAAAAUGUUUGUAUAAAUGAUCAUCCCCUAAGACUGGGAUAACUAUGAAAAACGAUGUGAAAUCUUUAGAUAUGAAUUUGACAAUAUUUGACCCUUUGCUCAACAUGAUACAAAUGGAGUAGAGUUUCGUAAACUAUAUAUGUAUAUUUUUGAUGUAGAAGACAAGUUUGUAAACAAAAACAUAUAUAUGCAAAUUGUUAUAUAUAUGUAUAAAGUUUAAAAGAUGAUUUGGUAUGUUUCGUAAUUGUUGUUCAUAUUCUUACGUUUUUAUUAGAAACUUUGCAUGAAAUAAUCCUUAAGUUUGAUACUAAAGACCUUUUUGUACUUAUCACUUUUUUAAAAAUUGUAAUUAAACAUAUUUAAAUGAUUGUGUUUUUGACUUCCUUAAUGUAUAAACAUUGCUAAAAAUGUUAGAAGGUGUUAAUAAAUCUAUAAACCACUUUUGACAGUUUUACCCUUUACUGUCCUUGUUUUGAGAAAACUCAUAGAAAAAUCAUCGUAAGUCAAAAACUGAAGCCGUCACCUCUGAGAGUUUACAAAAUGAGUCUAAUUUGUUCUUAAUUUUUAUUAUGAUUUUUAGUGGUUUCAAACUAGUGUGAAAAUGAGCAUAUUCACAGACUGGUCCGAAAUCACUUCUAAAAUGACAGACAAUUUUAUAAAAAUCGCCAUAAAUUGUAGAAAAAUCGUAUGAACGCGUGAGAGUAGUCCUUAGUAAGGUAUAAACUUGAACUAUUUGCAUAUUGUAUAGUUUUGAAAGAUAUUAAGUUUAAGAGGGUCAAAACAGUCCGUGAAAAAGGACUCAACUUUUCUGUAGAAAGCUGUCAUUUAAAUUUAAGUUAUGUUUAGUGUUCUAACUUGUAUUCCCCCCCUUAAAACUUGAAGAANCCCCCCCCCCUUAAAACUUGAAGAAAACAUGAAAAUUUAGGGUUAUGAACUAACCUUAUGUGAAUACUUGAAGAAUGGAAGGUUAAAGAUGAAGAACUUUUGGUUGUUGGUUUGAUGCUCCAAAACAUCCACUGUUUUGGUUAUGUUACUGUCACGAAAACUUCACAGCAAAAGAGUAAGAAAAUGGGUAGUUUACUCGGUAUUUUGAAUCAAUAAUGUUGAGUAUCAUAACAAGUAACUUACAGGGGUAUUUGGUGGUAAAAAUAUCAAGCAAAAGGAAGGUGUAGAUGAGUGAAAUGGUGGCUGAAACACAAAAGGGACAGCAGCCCUUUAGUUCAUGAUUUUGAUGGCUUUGGAAGGAAGUUCUUGUGGCUGAAAAUGAGAUGAAGAUUGAGAGUAAUUCCCUGGAGUAUUGGCUGGUGAAUUUAGGGUAAAAUGAUGAGAAAAUUGCGUGAUUAUGAAGGAGGAAAGGGUGGAAGAGGAUAACGGGACAAAACCAAGACUAGCUUGUGAUGGGAUGUGAGUUUAAGUGAUGUGAUCUUGUCUAGCCACUUGCUUGGGUGGUUGCUUAGAGAUAGAGUUAGUUAACUAACUAACUACUAGUUAUUUAGUUAGUUAGGAGUUCUAGUAAAGGAGAGGGAAGGUCUUAAUCUCGAAAAUUAGAAGAGUGAUUAAUAAGCAUUCUUAGUAAAAUGUCUUAAGUGAUUAAGCACUUAUUAGUUAAGUUGGCACAUAUCUCCACCAAUUCUCUUAUCUUAAUUGAUUUAGAAAUCAUAUUCCUUACAUGAAAUCACUUAAAUCAUGACCCAUAACUAGUCAUUCACUCGAUAAUAAUACAUAUGUACAAAUACAUACUUGUAUACUUAGUAUAAAAUAACAAUGUAGUUUUUGUGUAUUUGAACUUUAAUGUUUAUGUUUUAUUCUUUUUAUUCAAAAACACUUAAAUACAUUCUAAUUAUACCUUAUAAUAGUUCAUUUUAUAUUUUUAUUUAUUUAAAUAUAAAAUUUAUUGACCAAUGUAUAAUUUCGUGACAUUUAACCGGUUAACCAUAUCGUUAAACACGUUUUGUCACUUUGGUUCGUAUAUUUAUCAAAUUUAGAUCCUCCACAUCUAUUAAGCAAACGUUUUACAUAGAACCUAACUUACUUAUCAACUAGAGACAUGUUGAGACAAAAAUUAAGUUUGUUGCGUUUAAAUGAUGUUAUAUGCUAAUUUCACAAACCGGUGAUGGUUCGUAGUCAUACAUCAUAAUGAAAUUUAUCAAUAGUUACUUCUUUUAUAUUUCACAAUAACUUAUUUAAAUAAAAGAGGUUAAAUUCCUUCAACCAUUCUUGAUAAAAUACUCAUAUUGCUUAAAAAUCAAAACAUAGCAUCAUACGAUCGUUCCUAUUUUUACAAAUUGUUACAUUCUCCCCCCGUUAAAAGAAUUUCGCCCUGAAAUUCAACUUGUAGACGGGAUAUCACUAAACAAUCAGGGGUGUUUUUUUAUUUGAUCCUCGCAUUCCUUUGUGAAUUUCGCUCCUCGCUUGGCGUUCCAACGAGCCUUCACUAUGGGCAUGCGACUUUGUUUUAUCCUUAUGACCUCCAGAUCCAUGAUUUCCACCGGUUCUUCGAUGAAGUUUAGACUCCCGUUGAUUUCAAUUUCAUCCAGUGGAAUAAUAAGAGUCUCAUCAGACAAGCUCUUCUUCUGAUCCUGGGAUGCCUUCAAUCGUUCACGGGUUUGAACAAUCUUCUCUGUAGUUUCUCGUAUGAUCUGGGGGCUGGUGAGAGUGUUUUUAGGAACUUGCCCGUUAGCUAUUUGCGUGCCACCUACCUCAACCCAUCAAAGAGGUGAUCUACACUUGCUUUUGCAGAGAGCUUCGAAUGACGCGACUUUGAUGUUAAUGUAAUAGUUGAUGUUGUAUAAGGAUUCAAUGAAUGGUUCUUCCGCUUUGUCUUUCAGUUUGAGGGUGAUAAAAAGGACUUCUUUAACGACUAUUGAAAACACGAGGCGAAUCGCUUGUCACUUAUCUAAAAUGAUAGAUAGUGGUAUACUAUGCAGUCUCGCAAUUUUCUUGUGAUAUGCUUCUGUCAGCUUUUCUAUUUUUCUUUGUAUCCUUGGUCGGUAGAAAGUGGGUGGGUUUGGUUGAUUUGUCUACGAUUGCUCAAGUGGUAGCAUGUCCAUCCACUGUCCUGGGUAACUUGUCAUGGAGUUCAUGGUAUGACUCAUAACUGAUUCAUCUAUCAUCUCUUUGUGUUUAUAAGUCGUAUAUAAUUAAGAUUGAAAAGACAGUCGAAUCGGUGAUUCAAUUCUAAGCCCACAUCCGAACAAGGAAAAUGAUUUAAAACGGAAUUACCAACCCUAAGUCCGUAGAAUCUUAAUUAUAUAGGGCUCCAAUAUAAACACUUAGUAAUCAUAGAUUCACUAGUAUGGGUCCAUAGUCUCUACUUGAGUGGGGUGAUUAACUUGGGUGAGAUGGCAUUUACAACAACCCUUUUCCACAACUACUGCACUUAGGUUGAUUUUUGAACUCGGGUUGCCGUACGGAUGGUAUUCCCAGGAGAUCUUCUGGGAAUAUAUCGAGAAGGUUACAGGCUUUUUCAACAUCCAUGAUGUCUUUCUCUUAUUGUUUCUUAUCCACAACACGGGCUAGGACGGCGUGGUAUCUCCUGUGUAGGUACUUCUGAGUCUCGUUGUACAAGGUGAGUCGGGGGUUUGUGUCCAGUUUGUCGCCAUAGACAACAAGAGUUCAAUUACUCGAUGGGUUUAGGCGAAUGGCAUUUUCGUAAUAUAUAAUAUCGAUAUGGUGAGGAAACUAACUAAUACGUUGUUAAAAUGAAAAUGUCAUAAAUUUUUAUUGUGACCGGUUUUAGGAUGAUUUGAACGAAUUGGUUGAUUUAGUGUUAAAGUGCACCCUAUGUACACGUCUCUAGUGCUUGCGAAUAUUCCAAUUCUACUGUAAAUAUUUUGUUUAAGUUUUUGAGGUUUUUGGUUGAGAAAUUGAUUAAAUCUACGACUCAUAAUACUCCUGUCCGCGUUGCUAUUAUAUAGUAUCCAUGCAUAUGUGCUAUCGGGAAUGAACGUACUGGAAUCUCAGCGGGGUCUAUUAUUGCUUUCCCACGCUCUGUUGCUAAAACACUUCCGACGCUCCUGACAUCUUUGUUUUUAGUCUCCGGGAACUCCUUUAUGAAAUUCCCUACUUCUCCACAUCUGUAGCAAGUCCGACUCAUCCCAGCUUUUGUGUUCUGGGCGGUCUGUUGAGCCGGCACCCUACAGAAAUUUGUGGUAUGCCCCUUUUCAUUACAGUUCUUGCAGUGCAUUUCCCUGCACUUUCCUUUGUGAUGAAAGCUACACUCGGUGCAUUUUGGCAGGUUUCCAACAUAUGGUCUUGUCGGCACUGAGGUAGUAGGGAUGGUGGUGGUAUGGAAUGUCACUGUUUGUUGUCUUUUGGUAGGUCCUUGAUUUGGGGCGUCGUUGCAGGAACAUACUCGGGGUGUCCCUGGUUGUUAUUACGAUUGGAACUUUCGGCGCCGUUCCCGCUUUUGUUUGUGUUGUUAGCGCCGAGGUGUGCCAUGACUGCUGUCACGACGGCUGUUACCGCAAUUUGAAAUGUUGUAGGGUCUAUUUAUAGAACUAGUGUUGCACCAGUAUGCUGAUUACCUUCAUGUGUCGGCAUGAUUCUAUUUCGCGAGUGGCCUCCUCUGUUCUCAGUUCUGUGAUGACUGUCCAGGUUGUAGCUGUAAGGGUUCUUUGUCCUAUAACGACUAUCUCCUUUUCUAAGGAGUGUAGGUGAUCCGUAUUGUUCUCUUGAUCUGCUUGCCGGUCUAUGGGUGCUAUGGCCCGAAGUACGGUGCAGUGAGUUUAUGUCGGUUGUGGAUCAUCGGUUGUCCUCUCCAGUCUAUAUGUGUGGCUAGGUAGUUAAUUGCGGGUUGCUUCCUGAAAUGAGAGGUGGAGGUUCUCACACUCCUCUUGAUAGGGUAAGGUUUAUUGAUGGUAUCUCCCGAACUUCUUUCUCCAUCUGGUCCCUUCUCGGAAAUCUUCUUCCUCGUAUUUCAUCUAUUGGUACUCUUCGAAAUCUUCUUCUGGAUCCUUCUCGAUCCAUCUGUUGGCUUCGGUGGCAGGAUAGUAGGGGUCUAUGUGGAGAUGAAGUCUAGCUGAUAUGCCUAUGCGAGAAUAGGGGUAAGAAGCAUAUGAAGAAUCUAAGUGUGUGGUUCUAUUGUAACGCAAAAUACUCCUAUAGUAUUUUAAAUUUGUAUGUUAAAGUUUUCUUUGUAUGGUUUGUUGGUAAGUUUUAGACUCGUCAUCCACUACGACCAUUCCUCGGCAUACGUUGGUCACCUCUUGGAUAAAUAUAGUUGAUCAGGCUAUAUUCAUCCCAGACAUGAUUACAUACCCCGAGGCUUACUCGCAGUGUUUAACUUAUCUUAAUACUUUUUGUUUUGUUGCCAAUAUGACUCCUUACUAGUAUGUUUGUAUGCACUUACAUUUUUCGUGAAAUCUUGGUCCAUUCCUGGUCCUUCUAUCCUUGCCUUGUGUAUAUAGGUCAUAUACAGUUAAGAUUAAACAGUCAGUCGAAUAAGUGAUCUUACCUUAUAUCCACAUCCAAACAAGGAAAAGGAAGUAAAGUGAAAAUCACAAAUUCUAAGUCUAUAAAACUUUUAGUAUAUACCACCUUAACGUAUACACUUAGCAAACAUAGACCUAACAGCAAAGGACCCCUAAUGUUCCUGUUUUGAAAUUGUUAAUUCAGAGAGUUUUAGUCCCUAUGUAUUUAUAGUUUGUAUAUCUUAUGUGGUUUGAUAUACUUAGCUCACUAUAAACAAUGCUCUGAUACCAAUCUAUCACACCCCCAAACCAGGAUGGCGGAAACGUCCAGGGGCGGGUGACUAUCAUGUAGUGUAUCAUAACAGUUGAGUAUAAAUGUUCAAAGCAAACACAACCAACAUAUAUAUAAUUGAAAAAGUUACAUCAUUUGUACGUAUUACAUGUUUCAAAAUAUCAAUUACAAUAUGUUGUCAAAAGAUUUGUUUAGACGCCUAAGCGUCCCAUCCUCAAAGCCAGUUGUUACCUGAUUUACUGAUUUCCUGAGAAUACAAGUUAUUUGAAAAGAGAGUAUCGACAUUUAAGUUGGUGAGUUCAUAAGCAUUUGUAUGUAUAUUUGUAAACCGUUUCUAUGAAAUGUAGUAAUGUUUUUUUUUUCCGAAAAAUCCUAUAUUUUCCCUAAAAUGAGAUGUGGCCUUAAAUGAUCCAAGACCGAAACGUAUAAGUAGUUUUCCUACUUAAAAUGAUGUUAUGCAAUUUUGUUUGUAUAUAAAACUGUUUGAAGACUGUCUUUGCGUAAACUAAAAGUGUCAUUGUUGUUUUACGUGAGUUUUAAUUUUUAUCUUAUAACCAUGCUUGAUUGACCCAGACUACCUAGUUCGCAACGUUCUUCAAGUGUCAAUUUCGUUAUGACAUUUGUCACCCCUAGACCUGCCGGUCCAGCUGUUGCAAGCAGCUAAGGUGCGGGAUUGUCGGUCCCAAUAUAGAUCUAUACACAACUAUCACGGUCUCCCUACAAGAGACUCUGGUUAUAUUUAACAGGACUUUCGUGUGUACUUUAUAAGGUACCGUGAAGACAAAACUCACUAAAUUUGUUCAACGAGUUUACAUGUUUUUGUGUUGAAAAUGUUUGUAUAAAUGAUCAUCCCCUAAGACUGGGAUAGCUAUGAAAAACGACGUGAAAUCUUUAGAUAUGCAUUUGACAAUAUUUUACCAUUUGCUCAACAGGAUACAAAUGGAGUAGAGUUUCGUAAACUAUAU
rnacentral:lncRNA from 1 species